rnacentral:lncRNA from 1 species
GUCAACUCACAAUUGCAAAGUGAGCCUUACGUCCGGAGCAACUUCUAUUUAUAGGGAGAGAGCCGCAACGGUACGCCUCGGGAGACUAAACGGCUCAUUAAUGCGCCGUCAGGUGUGCUUUUGCUGGCCACGUGUCACCCGACGAAUGGCACCGCUGACUGCACGCCAGGCACGGAAGACGAAGCGUCUCUUUGCCCUCC